rnacentral:rRNA from 1 species
UACGGAGGCAGCGAGCGUUGUUCGGAGUUACUGGGCGUAAAGGGUGCGUAGGCGGCGCGUUAAGUGAGAUGCGAAAUCUGGUGGCUCAACCAUCUAGACUGUGUCUCAUACUGGCGUGCUAGAGGACGGCAGAGGCAAGUGGAAUUACCGGUGUAGCAGUGAAAUGCGUAGAUAUCGGUAGGAACACCAAUGGCGAAGGCAGCUUGCUGGGCCGGCCCUGACGCUGAGGUACGAAAGCGUGGGGAGCGAACAGG